rnacentral:misc_RNA from 1 species
AAGUCGUAACAAGGUUUCCGUAGGUAUGUGAAUAUCGUCUCGAAUCCUUUAAUCUUGAUUUAUGCUAACUAUUUUCUAGGUGAACCUGCGGAAGGAUCAUUAGUGAUUGCCAUCUUGGCUUAAACUAUAUCCAUCUACACCUGUGAACCGUUUGAUUGAAUCUUCUGAUUCAAUUUUACAAACAUUGUGUAAUGAACGUCAUUAGAUCAUAACAAAAAAAAACUUUUAACAACGGAUCUCUUGGCUCUC